rnacentral:lncRNA from 1 species
AUUAAGUCCCAUUUGUUUAUUUUUGUUUUUAUUGUCAUUACGCUAGGAGGUGGAUCUGAGAAGAUAUUGCUGUGGUUUAUGGAGACAUCCCCACAGCAGUAAGUAAGCCUGGCCUCCAGAUGUUAACACUGGACAUCAUUCCUCACUAUCAUGAAGCAGAGACUCUCCGUGAAGUGACUGAUUGCAGGCAGCGUAGGUACAAGAUGAGCCUGAAAAUUCAUGCCACAGAAACACAAAAGUAGUGUGACAGGGGUUCCACUGGGCAAAUCUGGAACAAUUUGAACAAGAAAAUAAUUAAACUCAGCAAAGAACUAGAAAUCAUUGAAAAAAUAGAAAACUUUUAUUAAUUUAGCCAUGUCCAAUAAUAAAUAGUUCCCAUCAAUCAAUCCAUCAAUAGAAGAGAAGGGAGGGCUCCUGCUUAAAUAAAGUGCAAGGGGCCUGUUUAGUAUGAAAGAAGUGUGGAUGUUGGAAAAUUAACAUUUUGCCUCAUUAUAAUAAAGACUGGGAUCAGAAAAGAAUCAUCAGUGAAUGCUAAUGCAGGGAGAAUUUUUGAUGAUAUAAAGGACAUUUGCACAGUCUGCUUAUCACACACACAUGGGCUGUGUGUGUAUACACAUAGGUAAGUGUGUAUAUGUAUACACAAUCACAGAUACACACACUUUUAGAGAGGACUGAUACAUUUAGAUGCUGUUUGAGCAGUUGCUUUUAUGAUGCAACAAUCAUGAUUAAUGUGUUGUUAUGAUGUCUCUUUGCACCUCACACUCUGGACACUUUGGCUGAGAUUAGGUUCUCCAGAUUGUCCUCUAACCUGUCUAGCAGCUGCUUGCUCCCACUGUCCAUCCACAGCUCCCAGCAAGCAUGGAGCCCUGGCCAGAGUGGAGGUAAGAGCUGCCAUUAAGUUUGUGAGUGCUGAGAUUUAAAGAAGCUGAAUCUAGCCACCUGUUUUGGCAAUGAAACUCCCAGAAUAAAUGCAUCUGAAAGGAAAAAAAAAAUUGUUCGAUUUGUGUGCCAAGAGAUAGAACAUAAUACGAAAGCAGCUCAGCCUUGUUUGUAAUGACUCUGCAGCGGUCCUUCCCAACACUCUCCUUGCCAAAUAAAUCAAUUGCUCAACUCUGAUUUACUCUUGACACUGCCUUUAAUCUGUGAACUACGAACUGAGAAACUUUGUCUGCCCUCCUCUCCCCUAUCUGCGUGUGGCUGUCAGGCAAGCCGUCGACAGCACUCUGUAGCAGAAGUUAAUUGGAAGGAGCUGGAGCUCCUUUGGUAAUUAUUGAAGCCACUCUCCCGGCGUGGAAGAGCACCUCUUGCCUACACACUGUUUGAUAAGGAGACUCCUUUUCCUCCUUAUAUAGUCACAGAAGCACAGCAAAACCAAAGCUCAGCACUCUCUGUUUGUUUGAUAAACCUCAGAGUUACUUUGAGUUUGGCUACACUACACUUUGGGUUCAAUUCAAUUGGUUUCAAAUGCAUUUCAGAACCUUUGAGAAGACGAUGUAUCUAAUUCACCACUUUGUCCCCAGUGCUUGCCCCUGAACCUGACACGGAGUAAGCACUCCAUGUUAGGAAUUAUUAUUAUUAUUAACAUUCAUUUAGUUCCUAUUAUGUCUGAGUCUGAAAUGACCAUUUGAAGAAGAAAAGUUUGAUUCUCAGGUUGUGCACACUUGGGUAGACCUUUUAGCUCGAAUACCAACAGCUCCGGUAUCGCAGACAAACUGCUGCAUCGCAUCAAACAUCAGUUUCCUUACCAAUACCCUAUGGAUUGUUUAUAACUCAGAUUAAACAAUUUGAAACUACUAAAGAGCCGGGUAUCCUGACUGGCAUACAUUAACUGCUUAAUAAAUGGUAGUUUUCUUCCCUUGCUACUUAGGAUGUAUAGAUACUAUAUGAACCCCUUGGGCCACUCAUAACUAGUAUCUUCCUCCCAAUCUUGAACCUUAAUGUUAUCAGUUUAAGAUGGGACAAGGAGUCCUAUUUUCUCUCUCUUUGCCCUCUAUCACUCCCAACUCCAAUAUCUCUAAGUUGUUUCAUUUUAGCUAAAGGAUAUCUUUUAAAUAGAGAUUUCACAACUCGAGCAAAACAUGUAUUGUGUCUUACUUAUGAAGUAAACACUGUAACAUGCGUUGGAAAUAUGAAGAUGAGUAUGGCAUGAUGAAUCCUUCCUUCCCUAAGGAAUUUUCAGACUGCCAGGGAGAGGAAGAUUUACGUAUGAAACUCAAAUACAGCACAAGAAAUUUUGGAUCAGAGAAAUUCUUAUUUGUAUUUAUUUAUUCAUUUAUUUAUUUUUUAUUAUCUUUUGAGGGCCAUACCCACAGCAUAUGGAAGUUCCCAGGCUAGGGGUUGAAUCAGACUGGUAGCCACUGGCCUACACCACAGCCAUAGCAAUACCAGAUCUGAGCCAUGCCUGAUACCUAUACCACAGCUCAGGGCAAUUCCAGAUCCUUAACCCACUGAGCGAGGCCGGGGAUCAAACCGGCAUUCUCUUGGAUACUAGUUGGAUUCAUUACUGCUGAGCAGUAAUGGGAACUUCCAAGAAAUUCUUUUUUUUUUUUUUUUUUGAGAAAUUCUUAAUAUUGAAGUACUAGAGGAGCAGUGAGGAAGAAGUAGUCAACUCCCCAUAUUAGGAAGCCAAUGCGUUGCAUCAAUGAAGGAUUCAGCUAGGAAGUGUUCUUUCCAGUGGGCUUUGAAGGAUGAUCAAGUAUUUUCUAGGCAACGAACGGCAAAAGAUUAUUCUACAGAGAGGGGAUAGCAUGUGCAAAUCCAAAGGGUGAUGCAUGUGGUAGGAGAUGAAAAUAUAUAUUUUCUGCGACAUGGUUACAUGCUACAUUAUGCAGUUAUGCAGUGGAAGAGCAUCAUUAAUGAGCUAUGUGACAGAGUCGGCUAAUUUGAGCAAGAUAACUGGGGAUGGUGUGGAAAGUCAAUUGCAAAUAUUCCCUUCCACGUCUGAGAAUGGAGUAGGGCGUAGCUGCCACAGGUAGAGUUAAGCUUCAGAAACUGGAGCUGCAUCAGGGUCAGUGGUAACCCGUAGAGCUCUAAGACCUUGAGGUUUAUUGACAGUCGAGACCCAGGUCUCAUGGAAAGGCCAACCUGAAUUCUGUCUACUAGUUGACAGGCAAAUGCCCAGGGUAUAUAUUUGCUAAUCACUGAUCCUGUGAUUCGUAGAAAGUCAGGAGGGAGAGAGGAUGAAGGCAAAUGGGAGACGGAGUAUGAGCCCAGGAUGACUGCCCAGAUGAUGAAUUCCUUUACAAGGACAGCAGCAGUGAUAUUGGAGGAGGAAUGUGCAUAUUUCAGAAACAUUUGAAUGCAGCUUCAGCAAGCUGGCGGACAUUGAAUACAGGAAGUGAGUGAAGCAGAUAAUUUGUAUACUUUAGUGACAGAUGGCAUGGUAAUGUGGAAUCAAAAGGAACUGUUAUUUGAGCUUCUUAACUUAGCCCUAGCUUGUUCAAUAAAAACAGGAUUUUGUAUUUAAACAAAUGAUUAGACUUAUCAGUAAGAAUGUAAACAGCAGUGUAAUUCAUGUAGCUGUUUUUUUUUCGUUCUCUAGACUGCAAUCCUACUUUUAAAAAUGUAAUUAGAACUUAAAGGUAAUAAUUUUUCAUUUUUUUGUCUUUUUAGGUCUGCACCCACGGCAUGGGGAGGUUCCCAGGCUAGGGGUCCAAUAGGAGCUACAGCCACCGACUUGCACCAUAGCCACAGCAACACAGGAUCUGAGCCACGUCUGUGACCUACGCAACAGCUCAUAGCAAUACUGGAUCCACUGAGCGAGGUCAGGGAUUGAAACCACGUCCUCAUGGAUGCCAGUUGGGUUCUUUAACUGCUGAGCCAUUAUGGGAACUCCAGAACUUAAAGGUAAUAAUAUGAUAAAUUCAGAAGUGUAGUAAUAGUCAAUAAUGAUUUUUACAUGUAGCAUGAUAAAAGUGACAGCUGUCUUCUAAAUCAUAUUUGCACUGAAGUAGAAAAACACUGAACAAGUCACAAAAACAUGAUUUAUAAUGCUGAUCAAACUCCCCUAAUUUUCCAUAAAAUUCAUUUGUCAUUGCUUGCUCAAAAAUGGUAAUAAACUCAAAUAGCAGAGCUUAUUGAAUCUCAAUUGUAAAUUCCAGCUGUCGCCAAACUACGUAAAUUGACCAUAACAGUCCAUCCUCAAAACCUCACAUAGGAGAAGGCAUUUGGCUGACUGAGUAGAGUUAAAUGAACAAAGUAUUGAACCUGAAGAGGCAGGAUAGUAAAGGAGAAAUUCAUUGCAAGGCGGGAGCCACAUAUAUAAUAGACUUUGAGCUUUAAAGAUCCAAAUCUAUGAAUACACUUAUUAUUCUGUAAAUUGUUUCCAAAGUGCUUUAUUAAACCAAUCAACAAAUGUCUAUUUUGUACUUGCUGCUUGCAGAGACUUUUGUGAACCUAAAAUGCAUACUUCUGUGGUCGGCUUUUCAGCAAAAGUACAAAGCAUCUCUUCAUAGCACUUAUGCCAUUUAUAGUAAGCCAAUGUGAGUAUCACAAAAGAUGACUGAAGUAAGAAUCCUUGUUUCAUUUGUUUCAUUUUUAUUUCAUUUUAUGGAUGAGAAAAAAAAAAAAAAGUGAGUCUUGGAAAGGAUAAGUGACUUAACUGACCAAGAUCAACAGGAUUUGAACUUAAGCUGAUAGGCACUAAGUUCUUUUCUCUUUCAGUUAUAUUACUCUCUCAUUUCUUUGCUGAUUAUAGAAAGAGUUUGUUUUUCUUUUAAAGGGGGCUGUUUGAUACAACUUCCAUCUUUCGAAUUCUUAAUUCUUUUCUGUAAAACUAGUUUAAUCCCAAAUGGUACCUUGAACAUUAAAGACUAAAGAAGUAUGAUAGGUUUAAGGUCAUAAUUUGAAGGGUUUUUUUCAUAUGGGCUCACAUAGAAUUGGGUUGAAUAGCAUUGGGUAUACAUUUUACGGGCAACAGAUAAUUGUUUUUAAUCUGUCCAAGCUAGUAGCUUUUCUUCUUUGUUAUCAUAGGUAGAUGAAUCUUUCUGAGCCUAUGUUCCUUGUAUAAAGGCUACUAUUGAAACUUUCAUAGCAUUAGGCUACCCUAAUGUGCAUACUUCGUAUGCUGUUUUUACUGUAUCUCUUAUCCAUUUAUGAUUGCUACACAUAGACAAAGAAAGGAAAAGAUGUAUUGAAGGAAGCUAAAUUUUACUAAGUGUGUGAUUAUUUUGAAAGUUACUUAACUUUUCUGAGUUUUGGUUUCCUCUUUUAUGAAAUGGGGAUAAUAAUCCAGUAUCAGAGUGUUGUGAUGCAGAUUAAAUGAGUCAGUAGUUUAGAUAGAUAUAGAUAGAUAGAAUUGAAAAAGUACUUAGUGAAAUGUAAGCUAAAAAAAAAUACACGUUGGGAGUUCCCGUCGUGGCUCAGUGGUUAACGAAUCCGACUAGGAACCAUGAAGUUGUGGGUUCGAUCCCUGGCCUUGCUCAGUGGGUUCAGGAUCCGGCGUUGCUGUGAGCUGUGGUGUAGGUUGCAGACUUGGCUCAGAUCCCUCAUUGCUGUGGCUCUGGUGUAAGCCGGCGGCUACAGCUCCGAUUGGACCCCUAGCCUGGGAACUUCCAUGAGCUGCGGGAGUGGCUCAAGAAAUGGCAAAAAG